GAGGAAAUUUGACCACAUUACUCCAAUUCUACAACAAUUGCACUGGCUGCCUGUGUAUUAUAGGGUCGUUUUUAAGAUCCUUUUAAUCACGUAUAAAACGCUAAACGGUGAAGGUCCAGAGUAUUUACGUAGUCUCUUGGUGUGGCAUGUGCCAUCACGAAAUCUUCGUUCAGGUGAUAGACAAUUGCUGGUUGAGCCCAGGUUUAUGAGGUCAUGGGGUGACAGAUCUUUUGUAGUUGCGGCCCCCCGUUUGUGGAACAGAUUACCUCUUGAAAUAAGAUCAAGUUCGUCGACUGCUUUGUUCAAACGUGCUCUGAAAACACAUCUAUUUUUUGUUGCUCAAGGAAAUUAAUUUAUUGUGAAUUGAUUUUUUUUUUGUUUUGUUUUUUAAUUUGUUUAGUUAGAUGCCCACAAAACUGAGAACACCUGUUAGUCAUGUACUAGCCGGUCUUUGCACCUUAAAUUGCUGGUAAACGGAAGCAGUGAUGUGGGUUAUGGUCGUUUUUCUGGUAGCCUUUAGUUUAAAAGGAUAAGCUUUUUCAUGGUUUUCACAAGCGCCUUGAGCACUUUAGUGGAGAUGUGCGCUUAAUAAAUCUUAUUAUUAUUAUUAUUAUUAUUAUUAUUAU